rnacentral:rRNA from 1 species
UACGAAGGGGGCUAGCGUUGCUCGGAAUGACUGGGCGUAAAGGGCGCGUAGGCGGCGGCCACAGUCAGAUGUGAAAUUCCUGGGCUUAACCUUGGGGCUGCAUUUGAUACGUGGUUGCUUGAGUGGGGAAGAGGGUCGUGGAAUUCCCAGUGUAGAGGUGGAAUUCGUAGAUAUUGGGAAGAACACCGGUGGCGAAGGCGGCGACCUGGUCCUUGACUGACGCUGAGGCGCGAAAGCGUGGGGAGCAAACAGG